GGCCGGUAACUCAAUGGGUAAAACACACCCUNGAUAAGGGUGGGGGUCCAAAGUUCGAGUCUUUCUCCGGCCCCCCA
rnacentral:tRNA from 1 species